GUAUGGUGGUGCACCUACAGACCCAGCUACUAAGGUGGGAGGAUCACUUGAGCCCAGGAAUUCUGAGCUGUAGUGCACUAUGCCAAUUCCGUGUCUGCAUUGAGUUUGGCAUCAAUGUGGCAACCUCCUGGGAGCGGGGGACCACCAGAUUGUCUAAGGACGGGUGAACCUGCCCAGGUCAGAAACAGAGCAGGUCAAAACUCCCUGCAGAUCAGUAGUAGGAUUGUGCCUGUAAAUAGCCACUGAACUCCAACCUGGGCAACAUAGCAAGAGCACGUCUCUA
ensembl:misc_RNA Metazoa_SRP Metazoan signal recognition particle RNA